GACAGUAUAGCUCAGUGGUAGAGUGCAUGCUUAGCAUGCACGAGGUCCUGGGUUCAAUCCCCAGUACAGUAU
rnacentral:tRNA from 1 species